rnacentral:rRNA from 1 species
UUUUUAUGGAGAGUUUGAUCCUGGCUCAGGAUGAACGCUGGCGGCGUGCCUAAUACAUGCAAGUCGAGCGAACAGACGAGGAGCUUG